UACGGGGGGAGCAAGCGUUGUUCGGAUUUACUGGGCGUAAAGGGCGCGUAGGCGGCGUGGUAAGUCACUUGUGAAAUCUCCGGGCUUAACUCGGAACGGUCAAGUGAUACUGCUGUGCUAGAGUGCGGAAGGGGCAACUGGAAUUCUUGGUGUAGCGGUGAAAUGCGUAGAUAUCAAGAGGAACACCUGCGGCGAAGGCGGGUUGCUGGGCCGACACUGACGCUGAAGCGCGAAAGCUAGGGGAGCGAACGGG
rnacentral:rRNA from 1 species